rfam:Schistosoma haematobium scaffold868_51, whole genome shotgun sequence.
AUCCAGCUAACGAGUCCUAAACAGAAUGGAACGCGCGUCCUGGAU